UGGGGAAUCUUGCGCAAUGGGCGAAAGCCUGACGCAGCAACGCCGCGUGUGUGAUGAAGGUCUUCGGAUCGUAAAGCACUGUCGAGAGGGACGAAUAAGUUGCGGGCAAAUAUCCCGCGACGAUGACGGUACCUCUAAAGGAAGCACCGGCUAACUCUGUGCCAGCAGCCGCGGUAAUACAGAGGGUGCAAGCGUUGUUCGGAAUUAUUGGGCGUAAAGCGCGUGUAGGCGGCCAAGCAAGUCGGGUGUGAAAGCCCUCGGCUUAACCGAGGAAGUGCGCCCGAAACUACUUGGCUUGAGUACCGGAGAGGGUGGCGGAAUUCCCGGUGUAGAGGUGAAAUUCGUAGAUAUCGGGAGGAACACCAGUGGCGAAGGCGGCCACCUGGACGGAUACUGACGCUGAGACGCGAAAGCGUGGGGAGCAAACAGG
rnacentral:rRNA from 1 species